ensembl:lncRNA
AUCUGAAACCAGCCUUGAACAAUCCAUAGAUCUCUGACAAGGCAAGGGGAAAAGGUCCGACCCGUGCAAGGCAUUAUGAAAUGAACAUAUGGAAUCCACUGACUUCAGGAAAUAUUUUCAGAGUGCACACAUAUUUCUUCAAGACGUUAACAUCCCAGGGGAGGAGGAGGAAUAAAAACAUGACAGGGAGUAAUUUAAAAUGGCAGGUCUGCUGAGGGUACAGGCAACUUUCCAGGGCAGCUGUCUUCCAUGUGGGAGCUCAGAACCUCAGGCUAAUUCAAUCAUGUGGCAUGUCCAUAACAAGUUCUUCUGGGAUUGCUGCGGCAGUGAAGAAAAUCUGCACGGUCCUAUAGGUGGCUGUGACAGUUCCUUGCUACCAUCAUUCAAAGGUUGUUUAAAAGUGAUUCCUCUUAAACUCCAGAGAAUGGACCAGUUGGCCUAUCAAGUUCCCCUCCACCCAUAGAAGCCCACGAAUGCCAUCAAAUAAUGGAGGCUUUCCUUUCGUGCAAAUGAACAACUCCUUGGAAACUCAUAGUUGCUUCAAAAGGGAAGAACAUUCAGAACAUGAUCAGGGAAAUUAUGACUUGACAGGUGACAAGCAUUUGAGAAACAAGUUUGCCUUUUUUCAUUCCCUUCCUGGUUAUGUCUCCUGUCACAGGAGAAAGAAAUGAAACACCAGAAUGAAUCAGGUUAUAUCAUCAAUACACUGGUUACUGUCAUUGGUGAAGCAUUAAUGUAAUAGUUUAUCUUUCAUAUAAGACGGUGCCCCCCAUUCAGGGUGCUUGCAUUUUGAGAUGUUUCCCAUGCAUGUCACAUUGCAGGAGGUUUCUUGGUCACUAUGGGGGUUGGCUUCUUUAAAGCAGGAGUUUUCAAUCUUCAUAUUCUUGUUGUAGAACCCUUUGUUUAAAAGCCCAAAAUGUAAACCAGAUGAAACCAGAGCUGCUCUGUAG